GAGGGUGUAACUCAGUCGGUAGAGUAACGGCCUUUUAAGCCGUGAGUCGUGGGUUCGAUUCCCACCACCCUCACCA
rnacentral:tRNA from 1 species